rnacentral:lncRNA from 1 species
UUCAGGUGUUUGUAUAAACAGGUGUCUCUGUUUGCGACUCAUUGGUUCAAUUGUGUAUUGCCCUGAACUACUUACAAAGAUGGACAUCCCUGAUUCAACUUCAUUAUCCAUCAGUUAGCUUCCUGUGCUAAAGAAAAGAUCUUAUUUUACCAAUACACCUUACACUUAUGAAGGUGUGGAAGGUUGUGUGAUAACCUGCCAAGUUGUCUGCAUCCUAAUCCCCAGAAUCUUCAACUGUUACCUUACAUGGCCAAAGGUAUUUAAAUUAAGGAUCCUGAGAAGGGAAGAGGAUCCUGGCUUAUCCGGGGGUGGGGAUUGUAAUCACAAGCGUCCUUAUAAGCAGGAAGCAAGAAUAUCCAAGGCAGCUCAGGUUAUGCGAGAAGCAGAGAUGAGAGCGAUGAGGCCCUGAUCCCAGGAACGCAGGCAGCCUCUGGAAUGGAGAAGAGGCAGGGAACACACUCUCUCCUGAGCCCCCAGAAGCCACUGGCUUCAACUGGCACCUUCUUUUGUGCCCUUUAAAGCUCAUUUUGAACUUCUCGCCUCCAGAACUGUAAGAGCGUACAUGUGUGUUGUCUGAAGUCACUAAGCUUGUGAUAAUGUGUUAUAGCAGCAAUAAAAAACUAAUACAAAGGUGGAUCAAGAGGUAAAUACAUCAUCUUCUCUGGGGGGGAGGGGACAAAAAAAAAACCAAUGACAAUUCAUAUAAAAGGGAAAAACACAGGAUCCAGGACUGUGCACUGUGGGAGAAAAGCAGCAUUCUCUAAAGCCAAACACAGGGGAGUUCAAAAUUACUUUUUGUACUUACCAGUUAUUUGACCUCCAGCAAGUCACUUACCCUCCAGACCUCAGUAUCUGCAGCCAUGAAGUGGGAAUAACGACGACAGCUGUGUACUUUCCUCUGCAAAAGCAACAGGCAAGCAGGUUUCUGGCACCAGCACAUUACCUGAAACAUCUGGCACUCGGCUUGUACCACAGCCAAUAUCUCUGCUUGACAACUCUAAUGAACAAAUUGCCACAAAAGUGAGACAGAACACACCUUUUUGGUAAGUAGCAUAUACAUUUCUAAAUCUGAUGGUAAGCACAAGGCUAAUGUUUAUGCCUCCAUUUUGUUUAAAAU